AUACAUUGACCUAGAGAACUCUUCUCGUCUUCUUGUAUAAAUCAUCGAUCUGUACAAUACUAUCAAUAUACAAUAAACAUUUCUACUCAUCAUCUUCUUCUUCUAAUCUCCUUUCCUAAUAAUACUUAACAAUGUCACAGUCAACAAUGUCACAGUCGGCCUACGAGUAUCCGAGGUUACCUCGUCCAGAAAUCAUCAGUGCCCUCAACAAGGCUAAAAUAGCUAGCAUUACGGAAGCUGAGCUUGAAAACCCUACUCUCGAGUUCGUCGCCGAGAUUAACACCAAACUUCUUAUCCAUCUCGACGAAUAAAAACUGUAGAGAAGCUGAGCUUGAAAUCCCUAAUUAUUUAUUUUACGGAAGCUGAGCUUGAAAUCCCUAAUUAUUUUAUUUUUUUAAUUGGGAAUUUUUCGAAAAUAUCCAAUUGUAGAGAAGAGAAAGGGCAAGUCGAGUCUGAGGCAUUGCAGCAAUUGGAGAAUCCACAUCAUCAUGUCACCUCAGUGCAAUAUAUGAAUCUGUAUUGCAAAGUGAAAAAGUUGCUAGUUUUGUUGGAUUGUCCAUUACAAAUGAAUUACAAGGAUCUGAUACGCCCCGAACCAUCCCGAACCGAGUUUAUCAUCAGUUCACUUUUGAACUAUGCUCUAUACAGAGAUUCAAAAAUGAAGCUUAUAAACCAAAAAGCUCAGGAGUUGACUCUCCUUAAUGAGCAGCGGAAGCAGUGGGAGGCAAAGAUUUUCAAGGUAAUGCGAGAUAAGCUAUCUAUCACAUAGAUAUCCCUGCAGUUGAAUGCAGAGAUUGGAGAAUUUGAUGAAUCCGUUGAAAGGGAUUUACCCUUUGUCCAAGAGCGAGAAGCGAACAUUGAAGAACUAGAGAAGAGUACACAGAUGGAUAACGAGGUAAGAAACAGCAGGAAUCCAAUGAAGACGUUGAUCUGCAUUAAGGGUGACUUAAAGUCUUCCAAUGAAGACGUUGUUUCAUUGAUGUUAUAAUUGUUGUUCAGAUUAAUAAUAAUGCAAGUAUGAAUAUUGAUAAUUUGCUUUAUCCAAGUAACCUAUUGCUGA